AGAGUUUGAUCCUGGCUCAGGAUGAACGCUAGCGGCAGGCUUAAUACAUGCAAGUCGAGGGGCAGCAUGAACUAGCAAUAGUUUGAUGGCGACCGGCAAACGGGUGCGGAACACGUACACAACCUUCCUUUAAGUGGGGAAUAGCCCAGAGAAAUUUGGAUUAAUACCCCGUAACACAACGAAGUGGCAUCACUUUGUUGUUAUAGUUUCGGCGCUUAAUGAUGGGUGUGCGUAUGAUUAGAUAGUUGGCGAGGUAACGGCUCACCAAGUCUACGAUCAUUAGCUGAUGUGAGAGCAUGAUCAGCCACACGGGCACUGAGACACGGGCCCGACUCCUACGGGAGGCAGCAGUAAGGAAUAUUGGUCAAUGGACGCAAGUCUGAACCAGCCAUGCCGCGUGAAGGAUUAAGGUCCUCUGGAUUGUAAACUUCUUUUAUAUGGGACGAAAAAAGGUCUUUCUAGACCCCUUGACGGUACCAUAUGAAUAAGCACCGGCUAACUCCGUGCCAGCAGCCGCGGUAAUACGGAGGGUGCAAGCGUUAUCCGGAUUCACUGGGUUUAAAGGGUGCGUAGGCGGGUAGGUAAGUCAGUGGUGAAAUCCUGGAGCUCAACUCCAGAACUGCCAUUGAUACUAUCUAUCUUGAAUAUUGUGGAGGUAAGCGGAAUAUGUCAUGUAGCGGUGAAAUGCUUAGAUAUGACAUAGAACACCCAUUGCGAAGGCAGCUUACUACGCAUAUAUUGACGCUGAGGCACGAAAGCGUGGGGAUCAAACAGGAUUAGAUACCCUGGUAGUCCACGCCCUAAACUAUGGAUACUCGACAUAUGCGAUACACUGUAUGUGUCUGAGCG
rnacentral:rRNA from 1 species